rnacentral:rRNA from 1 species
CAGUAGCCGCGGGAAUACGAAGGGGGCUAGCGUUGUUCGGAUUAACUGGGCGUAAAGGGCGCGUAGGCGGGUUUUUAAGUCAGAGGUGAAAUCCCAAGGCUCAACCUUGGAACUGCCUUUGAUACUGGAAGUCUUGAGUCCGGGAGAGGUGAGUGGAACUGCGAGUGUAGAGGUGAAAUUCGUAGAUAUUCGGAGGAACACCAGUGGCGAAGGCGGCUCACUGGCUCGGUACUGACGCUGAGGUGCGAAAGCGUGGGGAGCAAACAGGAUUAGAUACCCCAGUAGUCCCUGUCUCUUAUAC